rnacentral:pre_miRNA from 1 species
AUCAUCUGGGGAUCUUGUGAAAAUGCAGAUUCAGAGUCUAGAGUACUGGGGAGGGAGCUGUGAUUCUGCAUUUCUAGCAAGUUCUUAGGUGUUGCUGA